rnacentral:pre_miRNA from 1 species
GGAAACAUGGAUACCGUUGGAUCGAGAAAUGGACGUCCGAGAUUCGUCCACGUCACCAUGAGUUAAAAUUUAACUCCUAGUAAAAUUUCAACUCAUGAGUGAAUCUGCGAGUUAAAUUUUAACUCAGGGUGACGUGGACAAAUCUCGAACGUUUAUUUCUCGAUCCAAAGGUAGUUUCCAUGUUUUC